AACCUUUUUGCUUUGCCGGGUCGACGAUUCCUACGGGAGGCAGCAGCAGGGAAUAUUGCACAAUGGGCGCAAGCCUGAUGCAGCGACGCCGCGUGAGGGAUGAAGGCCUUCGGGUUGUAAACCUCUUUCAGGAGGGACGAAGCGCAAGUGACGGUACCUCCAGAAGAAGCCCCGGCCAACUACGUGCCAGCAGCCGCGGUAAUACGUAGGGGGCGAGCGUUGUCCGGAUUCAUUGGGCGUAAAGAGCUCGUAGGCGGCUCAGUAAGUCGGCCGUGAAAGCCCAGGGCUCAACCCUGGGAGGCCGGUCGAUACUGCUGUGGCUAGGGUCCGGUAGAGGAGAGUGGAAUUCCCGGUGUAGCGGUGAAAUGCGCAGAUAUCGGGAGGAACACCAGUAGCGAAGGCGGCUCUCUGGGCCGGUACCGACGCUGAGGAGCGAAAGCUAGGGGAGCAAACAGGAUUAGAUACCCUGGUAGUCCUAGCCGUAAACGUUGGGCACUAGGUGUGGCGGAUUCAUUGACGUCUGCCGUGCCGGCGCUAACGCAUUAAGUGCCCCGCCUGGGGAGUACGGUCGCAAGGCUAAAACUCAAAGGAAUUGACGG
rnacentral:rRNA from 1 species